rnacentral:ncRNA from 1 species
UUCGAUUCUCAAAAAGGAGAUAAUUUCCUUCAAAUUUGCAGGUAUGUCUUUUCGACGAGUGACAACAACUGAGAAAUCUAGGCACAACGCAUUCAGCUGACUGCCUCCAGCCAUCUGAUAACAAACGCCUACUCCAGAAAAGAGAGCCUGAGGAGUGGUUACCACACCUUAGGAUGGCAGCAGGCGCAAAAAUUACCGAUCCCCGGCAUGAAAAGUCAGUGACACAAGAUAAGAAUACGAUAUUCAUUUGAUGCCCAGUGAUUUUAAUGAUUACAAAUUAGAUUCUUUAACGAAAACCAGCUGAAGGGCAAGACUGAUGCCAGUCGCAGCGGGAACUCAGGAUCCAUUAGGGUAUUUUAAAACUGUUGCAGUUAAAACUCUCGUAAAGGAAUCCGGAUUGUGAGAUCGCAUGCCAGUGUGAUAUUAGGCUUAAUCCUUAGCCUUCCUUAGAUAUUCUGAUAUGCCUUUAUUAGCACUGUGGACCACUUACACUGUAGUAAUGAAUUAAUAUAUCUGUUAGGGUUUUAAGGUGGUUGGUUAAACCUUUGACUGCGAUAAUGUAUGCAAAGGUGUUAGAUCUUCUGGAGAUUACGU